UAUUUAGUAUUUUAUAAAUUAUUAUCAUAAGUUUUUCUUUCUUUCUUUGCGCCAGGCCGAGACCUUUGUAAGCCCGCAGCGCCAUCCAGUGGCCGCUUUGUGCGCUGCACAUCCGGGUCCUCCCUGGAUGAGCUGUGUCAGGCCAAAAAGGCGCAUGAACUCACAUGCUCUGUCAUAGAACCCGACUCCGCUCCGGUUCCUCAGAACCGCGGGAAGCCCUGCAGUGCAGGAACUCCUCGUUUUUGUGACUGCAGCACUUUUUGCAAUUCUACACGCCAGUUCUUCGCUGUAAAAAUCGACGUCAACCGUGCGUCUGUCGAUACCGCCUUCCUGCAAAAUUUGGUCGGUUAAAGUUUAUUGUUUAAGGUGUUUUUGUGUUUGCGGCAGCUGACGUUAGAACUUUUCCCGACAGUUAUCAGCACAAAAUGUUGCCGGGAUGUGUCCGAAGGGGUGAGCGUUCGCAGUCCGAAUAUUUAAUAUUCAUGGAAAUACCCAGAAAAUGAAUAUGUUUAUCUUUUGUUUACAGUUCGGUAUGUCAG
rnacentral:lncRNA from 1 species